UGCCAGCCGCCGCGGUAAUACGUAAGUGGCGAACGUUGUCCGGAAUCACUGGGUGUAAAGCGCGUGUAGGCGGCCUGGUAAGUCCGAGGUGAAAUCCAAGAGCUCAACUCUUGAACUGCCUUGGAAACUGCCAAGCUUGAGGGCCAGAGGGGAAAGUGGAAUUUCGGGUGUAGCGGUGAAAUGCGUAGAUAUCCGAGAGAACACCGAUGGCGAAGGCAGCUUUCUGGCUGGUUCCUGACGCUGAGACGCGAAAGCUAGGGUAGCGAACGGGAUUAGAUA
rnacentral:rRNA from 1 species